rnacentral:rRNA from 1 species
UACGAAGGGGGCUAGCGUUGUUCGGAAUUACUGGGCGUAAAGCGUAUGCAGGCGGAUCUCUAAGUCGGGGGUGAAAUCCUGGAGCUCAACUCCAGAACUGCCUUUGAUACUGAGGAUCUUGAGUUCGGGAGAGGUGAGUGGAACUGCGAGUGUAGAGGUGAAAUUCGUAGAUAUUCGCAAGAACACCAGUGGCGAAGGCGGCUCACUGGCCCGAUACUGACGCUGAGGCACGAAAGCGUGGGGAGCAAACAGG